UUACGUUUUUACUUGAGCGCAAAAAACGAUAAAUUUUAACAAGUUUGGUAGCUUUUUAUACACCAAGAUUUUGUAGUUUUGACUACACAAAUUCAAGUGUUGAGAAAAACUUCAAUGAAUGCUGAAGACGCAGGACAUGAUAGCAAAUUUGCAAAAAAAUCAUAGAAUUCUUUUGGUAGUUCAUUGGAUUUCUCGGUUUUUUUUCCAUAAUUUUCUACCAUUUUGAAGAUAAAAAUUUAUUAAUGAUAUUUUCUUGUAAUAUUAUCUUCGGAAAAAAUUUAUUAUUUUUAAUUUUAAAAGCCGUUACGCUUGGAAGAUAUUCAGGAUAACUGUUAGAUAUCCAUUCCUUGGCGAUAUCUUCUUGUUCGGCACUCAGAUAUUGCCUGUUAAUUUUUGAAUCCAUAAUGUGUGCUAGUAGGUGAACUGAUGUGAUUGCUUGAUUGAAUCGUUCUUGAAAAAAACAUUUUAUAUAAUUGUAAAACUUUUUCGUUUAGUAAAUUAGACCACACUUCGAUUGCCUCCGAUAUGUACUAUAUGUUGACUCACGCUGUAGAAUGUUUAAUGCUGAUGCGACUAUCGAUAGUUUUCCUAAAUAUAUCGAUUCGCUGUAAAUUCCUAUGUUAUUUAAAAUGCUUGCAAUCGAAUCAUCAAACUUAUUUUCAUGCUUCAGAGUAAUUUCUUUAUAUUUUUGGUAAUUUGCGACAAAGAUCCUGACGCAUUCUAGAUGCGAAUUCUAUUUGGUUUUGUUAGGGAUUUAUGGCAUAAGUCCAUUUUUUUCCUUGAGUCAUACAUGUGCUUGGUGUAUAUUACGAAAAUACUUUUGAAUUUUAACCCUCAGCUGACACACUAUAUUGGAUUUGAUGUUUUGCCACAUAUGGCAAACAUCGUCACCAGGACCAUUUUCAAUUGCUAAAUAGGUUUUAAAUAUACUACUAGGAACCGAAAGAAAUAUUCUUUUCAGUAUGUUUUGUUAAAAAUUUAAAUACUGAUUUUUUUUUUAUUACAGCUUCUUUAAUCGGCGCAUAAAAGUGCAACAAAAGAGAAUUAGUAAUAUGAUAGAUGAAGAACGAUUGAGCCGAAGAAAUAGGCAAUAUGUUCCUUAUCAAUUUUCACGUCCAACAAUAAACUUGAAAAUAAUCCAUUAGACAAUGCGUGCAACCGUUCGUUUAGAUCAACAUUCUACUCGUCUGUUCAGUAUCUAUUUGUUUGCAAUAUCAAUAGAGAAUGAGAGAAUACUAGACAAAUCAAAAAAAACCGAAUUCAACCGAAUGCACUGCCUUUCAAGCCAUCAUCGUACUCUGUUUUUCGUGAAAGAUAAAAUGGCUGGAAAAGUUAUUAUAUUAUUAACAAUAUCUAGAAUCUCUAAAAACUCCAUGAAAUUAAAGAAGAGUAGAAAUAUGUGCUGGAUGUUUACUAUUUGGUACGACUAUAAUUGAAAUUGAAAGCCACCAGCCAAUAGCUUAAGGUUUUGUGGAUAUAAAAUGUAUAAAACAAAAAUUGUACAUAAUACAAUAGAUAAACAAUAGUAAGAGGCAAUUGCAGACACAAAAAAGGAGGAAAAUAAUAUUGCAAAUAAUUGGAUAUUGAACAGAUAUGAGGUCGCGCCAAUUGACACUUUUAAUCAGGACACCUGGAACUACAAUUUUCCAAAAUACGAGAAGAUUUGACCGAGAUUCAAAAUCCAUAAGAGAUGUGCGGGAUCCUUUGGAUGCGAUAAUAAAAUGACUAUCCACCAUGCCCAUAAUUGCACCUCUCUUUUGAGAGAGCGAGUGCUGCGAUGAAAAAGUGACAUAUCACCCAGAGAACGUGGGCUUGUGAUACCAAUUGAAACCUAACUUCAUGUGCCUUUUUAUCAACAUCACAUCGAGAAAGUUGAGUUUAUCAUCACUCAUUUCUAACGUCAAUUGUAACCUUGGAUGAAAGGCGUUAAAAUUUUUUUAAAUUGACUCCUCCGAAUAACGUGGAAUUAUCAUGGCUAUGUCAUCAACAUAUCUUAAAUAAAAGGAAAGAAUAUAGCCAACGUUCUCUAGAGUCCAUUUUUUCAAGGACUAGGUCCGUAAUAAUCUGUGAAAGGGGUGAGCUUAUGGGUGUCCCAAAAUUCUGUUUGUAAAAAAUAUCAAAUGAAAAGUAAAUUGAAUCUAAAA
rnacentral:lncRNA from 13 species